rnacentral:rRNA from 1 species
AGUGAACGCUGGCGGUAGGCCUAACACAUUCAAGUCGAACGGCAGCACAGUAAGAGCUUGCUCUUACGGGUGGCGAGUGGCGGACGGGUGAGGAAUACAUCGGAAUCUACUUUUUCGUGGGGGAUAACGUAGGGAAACUUACGCUAAUACCGCAUACGACCUACGGGUGAAAGCCGGGGAUCUUCGGACCUUGCGCGAUUGAAUGAGCCGAUGUCGGAUUAGCUAGUUGGCGGGGUAAAGGCCCACCAAGGCGACGAUCCGUAGCUGGUCUGAGAGGAUGAUCAGCCACACUGGAACUGAGACACGGUCCAGACUCCUACGGGAGGCAGCAGUGAGGAAUAUUGGACAAUGGGCGCAAGCCUGAUCCAGCCAUACCGCGUGGGUGAAGAAGGCCUUCGGGUUGUAAAGCCCAUUUGUUGGGAAAGAAAAGCAGCAGGUUAAUACCCCGCUGUUCUGACGGUACCCAAAGAAUAAGCACCGGCUAACUUCGUG